UCUCUACUUUAUGCACAUCUUUGCAGCAUUUUUUCCCUCAACAAUACAUAACUUUAUAUCCAAAGUAAAUCUUAAUCACAAAACACCGAACACACAAACAAUGAGGGUGAAAACAAAAAGGCCAUUUGUUUUUUUUUGUUGUUUUUUACACAAUGUACCAUACAGUAUGCAUGAGCCCUCUUUGUAUAAAUUACAUCCAAAAAAAAUCUAUUUUUUUUCUUUAGCCAGAAAGUUGAAGACAUUCAAUACUAAAAUAUUUAACCAAUUGUCUUAUAUGAGGACAAAAGGACCAAAAAAGGUUAGUCUUAUUCUUAUAUUGACAUCACUUUCUAAUCUGACAUCACCUUUUCUCUGCGGUAAAUAUUGUGAUCUCUGCUAUGGACAGUAAGUUACAGAGCUCAGAAAGCGUCUAUCAGUCUCUAAAGAGUAAUUAAAAAUCUUUCACUCUUUAAUUCAAAAAUGUAACUCAACAGUACUAAAAAAAGCUUCAUUAACAUGUUUAAUAACCACCAGCUGUUACAGAGCCACUGUUUGAAAUGUGAGGAGAGACAAUUCACAUUUUUCAGCCCCUAUCGGCACAGAAUCCAGACGUAAAGAAACACAGAUUUGUUAAAAAAUGACAUCAAACAAGCAUCAAGGCUUGUUUUUGAUCAAUUCUGGUACUUUUAAAAGUAUUAAAGGAUCUACUUUAGGCUCAACUUGCGUAUUGGUUUGAAAUGCAGCCUGUGUUUACAUUAUGGUGCCUUUUUACAGUAAGAAAACAAGAAGAAUAUGAUAAUAAAACGCUGGGUCACCUGAACACAAACAUCAGCUUUCUCCAGAACUGUAACGGAAAAAAUCUAGUCGACGAUCCACACAGCAAACAUUCUCAUAAAAAAACUAACGAAAAGAAAACAUUUGUAGAUAAAAACAAACAGAAAAACAGUUAAACCAGGGUUCUCAACUGAUAAUAUCACAUUUAAUGAUCUGUUUUCCAGACAGAAAGCUUCAGUAUUAAACCUUAAACAGCAGAAAGAGACAAACUUGCAGGAGGCAGAGAAAAAAAACGACGCUGCAAUAAAUACAUUCACUCCAGAUGCAAACCAACUAGAAUCCUGGUGAACUGAGACGAGAACUAGAAGCGGUUCUGCUUGGUGGUGUUUUCUGCUUCCAUGUGGCUCUGGUGCUGGAUGUUAAUACUGGUUAGAUGUUAGUGGGGGCUGAAUGAUCAAACACCCUGACUGACCGACACACUGACCGCUUUAAACCCAGCUUCUGAAUCUGCACUUGUACAUUAAGGCUGGAUUUCAAACCACAACAUGGUUUUUUUAUCGAAGACACCGGAUUGGUCAUUUUUAUUUGCGCUCUCAUCUUCUAUGGAUGUAUUUAAAAGUAGGUUUCCUCAAUUUCAGGCCGCAUUUUGUUACUUUCUUGCGUUCAACCGUCUGAACGUCAAAACCUGCCGACAGGUUCGAAAGCCGUGUUGUCCUAAAAAUAAACACAUAAAUAAAAGUCAACAAAAUUGGACGAGUUUACAAGAAGAAUCCUCAGAUUUCCAACUUUUUGAUGGUCAUAGAACUUAUGUGUGAUGUACACUUAAAGGGAAAUUUGGCAAAAAUAAACCAAUUGCAGUAACCAGAUUCUGUUAAAAAAAAAAAAAAACUUUUGUCACUUCAUUUUAAAAGUUUUCUGCACAGAAUCCAGACAUAAAGAAACACUGAUUUGUUAAAAAAUGACAUCAAACAACAUUUAGGCUUGUUUUUGACCAAUUCUGGUAUUUUUAGACGUGAUAAAGGAUCUACUUUAGGCUCAACUUGGUUUGAAUUGCAGCCUGCAUUUACAUUAUGGAAAGGUGUAAAAGUGAAGUUUGGCAAAAAAUAAACCGAAUACUGUAACCUGAUUCUGUAAAAAAAAAAAAAAAAAAAAAAACUUUUGGCGCUUCAUUUUAAAAGUUUUCUGCACAGAAUCCAGACAUAUAGAAAUGCUGAUUUGCUAAAAAACAACGACAUCAAACAAGUAUUUAGGCUUGCUUUUGACCAAUUCUGGUACUUUUAAAAGUAUUAAUGGAUCUACUUUAGGCUCAACUUGCGUAUUCAUUACAAAUGCAGCCUGCGUUUACUUUAUGGGAAAUUUGGCAAAAAUAAACCAAUUGCAGUAACUAUAUUCUGUAAAAAACUGGGACAGCUGCGAUCACCAGUUGCAAGAAAAAUGAAGGGACUAUUUGGUUGAACAGCACAGACCAAACAGACAAGUAUGGAAACUAAUUAAAAAUAUAAGUAGAGUUCCCGUGUUGUAGCACAGUUUUAAGUUUUUGUUAAACUAUCAAUAAAAAUUCAGCUUUCAUAGUCUCUUUUAGGAUUUACAGGAUUCUAACUUUUCUCUUUUUUUACUGCACAAAACACACGUUUGAUGUGUUUUUACUUCUGUUGUUUUUUUUCCAUAGAUGUGCAGAAAUUUAUGCUGCAAUGUGUCCAGAACAUACCCAGAAACUGUUUAGGGUUCAGAGGGUUAAAAAACAUGCAGCAUUUUACAAGUUUGACUUCUUUGUUGGACGAAAAAUUGAUUUAAAAGGCAAAUUUAUUCCACAGUUUUAUGGUGUUACCAAUACUGCAAAAAAUGUGACUCCACAUGUUUUAGAUAUUUAACGUUUAGUGUUUUUACAACCUCUAUUUAAAACUAGUCAUUACAUUUCUCUGCACAUCAAAUCUAGAAAGAUAUUUCACCAUGCUGAAUGUAUCUUCCAAUAACUUGCCUCACAGCUUUUGAGCCAUGCUGCACUUAUUUCAUCAUUACUGCUUACAUCUUUAAUUUGUUUUGUUGCUUGUCUCUUAUGUACUCUGUAAACACAGCCUGCAGUUCAGUCAAAAAGCUGCUGAUUUUGUUGUCAUGCGUCUGCAGGUUGUCGCUUCAUGGUUGCACUAAAGAGCGCCAAGUUUUUUGUUCUUUACAGUUUUAAAGUUUUUGUUAAACUAUCAAAAAAAAUUCAACUUUCAUCGUCUCUUGUAGCAUUUACAGUAUUAUAAUUAAUGUGUUUUUACUUCAAGCUGUGGUCGUUUUGUUUCCAUUGAGAUGCUGAAAUUUAUGCUGCAAUGUGUCCAAAGCGAGGGACCAAAAAAUGCUCAAAUUGUUUAGAGUUCAGACGGUUAAACGACAUGCUGCAUUUGACAAGUUUGACUUCUUUGUUGGAUGAAAAACUGAUUUAAAAGAUACACUUAUGCCACUGUUUAAAUUCUGGGAAAACAAACUGUGUUAAAUCAGCGCCAGUAUUGACUAAUUUCACACGUUAUCCAGCCCUAAUGACGUGCAUUUUUCUGGAGAAUGCUUAUCAGUCAGUGAGUGUGUCUGUAACGGACAUAAAACUUCUUUUUCAGUCUGUGGGUUCAGUUGUUUCCCUGCUGACGCCUUCAUCACACACUGAAGGGUAUAAACUCAUCAUCACCUAUCCACUCAUCAAAAGCUCAUUUUCUUUUCAUUACGGAGUAAAAUAAACUAAAAACACACAUCUGUUUACCGGUUCAGCUGGAAAUGUUAAAUGUGGGGAUAUUCCGAGGUCCAAAGCUGUGGGUUACAUGAUUCUGUUCCAGGGAAAACCUACUCUGACGGGAGCUGGAGCUUCAUGGAGGUCGAUGGUUGAUUAAUGGAUUAAAAGUGGGGCUGGUUGUUGUGUCGUUCCAAGUCCAGACUAAAAACCUCCACAUCAGUCCCAGUCCAGCCUCAAGUGUACUGGUACUCCUCUGAGUACUCCGUGUCCUCUGGAGCGUACUGGUUGUCUCCGGCUGCAAACUGCUCGUCUCCGGGAGCGUAUUGGUUGUCGCUUGUGUACGACUGAUCUGCUGGCUGUUGGUUCUCUGCAGUGUUCAGGCUGGAUUUCUU
ensembl:lncRNA